GGGCAGCAACAGCCCGCUACAGGUGGUUAUUCAUUAGUACUUGCACAAGUCACUCACGAACCCAUGAAUAUCAUACAACAGAACAUGUAUCAGCUACCACUUCACUGCUACAGUCACGGACUUGUAUGCUACUCGCAUGUCCAAUUCAGAGCAGCAUAUUAUGUUUGAUUUUAGUAUCAGCAAGAGAACUACAAACAGGUCCACCUCAUGUGCAGCAUCAGCUAUAGGUAAAACACGUGCAUCUCG
rnacentral:misc_RNA from 1 species